UACGUAGGUCCCGAGCGUUGUCCGGAUUUAUUGGGCGUAAAGGGAGCGUAGGCGGUAAUGCAAGUCAGAAGUGAAAGCCCGGGGCUCAACUCCGGGACUGCUUUUGAAACUGUGUUGCUAGAUUGCAGGAGAGGUAAGUGGAAUUCCUAGUGUAGCGGUGAAAUGCGUAGAUAUUAGGAGGAACACCAGUGGCGAAGGCGGCUUACUGGACUGUAAAUGACGCUGAGGCUCGAAAGCGUGGGGAGCAAACAGG
rnacentral:rRNA from 1 species